rnacentral:sRNA from 1 species
CUAUAAAUCUAUUCCACAAUCAAUAUAAUAAUGAACGAGAGUGAUAUAUCCUUAUUUUCACUGAUUUUAUCUAUGUUUUAUGUAUAAGGUUUUCAGUCUUUAUGUUAUUUCUCGAUUCUUUUUAGUGUCUUUUCAGGUAUUCUAUGCAGUAAGACAACAAUGGAGAUGAGAAGACAUUUUAGAGCAAAAGCUAAGGAAAAUGAAGCUAAGGACAAUUUUCAGUUCUUGAUUCAGAGGAGUGUCAAUCGACAAACUCCUGGAGUCAAUCGACACCAGUUUCAGCCCAGCAAAGUCCAUGACGCUUCCAAGUUUACAAAAGAGGAAAUUUGCCCAGAAGACUUUUUUAUUUGCAUUAUUAGUCCCUAGACGUUUUAUAGGGUUUUUAAAUUGUUUUUAGACCUAAGUUUCAUAUAUCAAGUUCUUUGCAAAACCCUAUUUUGAGAGACAUAAGCUAUUCAUCCCCUGUUCUUCAGAGAUAGCACCAUAUAUAGCAGUGAACCACAUUGUCCCCAGUGUUUGAGUUAGGAUCUCCUCUUGUUGGCAAUGCUCGUUCGCUUCUUAGAGUGAUUGUGUGAGCAUACCCCUUUAAACUUU